rnacentral:sRNA from 1 species
CAGGUUCGAGUUGAGCGCAGCGAAACAACGGAGCCGCUCGCGGCGACGGCCCGACGGGCGAGCGAAGCGAGUCAUCCUGCACGACCCACCA